UACGGGGGGGGCAAGCGUUGUUCGGAAUUACUGGGCGUAAAGGGCUCGUAGGCGGCCAACUAAGUCGGAUGUGAAAUCCCCAAGCUUAACUUGGGAACUGCAUCCGAUACUGGAUGGCUUGAGUUCGGGAGAGGGAUGCGGAAUUCCAGGUGUAGCGGUGAAAUGCGUAGAUAUCUGGAGGAACACCGGUGGCGAAGGCGGCAUCCUGGACCGAUACUGACGCUGAGGAGCGAAAGCCAGGGGAGCAAACGGG
rnacentral:rRNA from 1 species